CAGCAGCCGCGGUAAUACAGAGGGUGCGAGCGUUAAUCGGAUUUACUGGGCGUAAAGCGUGCGUAGGCGGCUUCUUAAGUCGGAUGUGAAAUCCCUGAGCUUAACUUAGGAAUUGCAUUCGAUACUGGGAAGCUAGAGUAUGGGAGAGGAUGGUAGAAUUCCAGGUGUAGCGGUGAAAUGCGUAGAGAUCUGGAGGAAUACCGAUGGCGAAGGCAGCCAUCUGGCCUAAUACUGACGCUGAGGUACGAAAGCAUGGGGAGCAAACAGGAUUAGAUACCCCGGUAGUCCCUGUCUCUUAUAU
rnacentral:rRNA from 1 species